rnacentral:misc_RNA from 1 species
UUAAGUUCAGCGGGUAGUCCUACCUGAUUUGAGGCCAAGCAUUCAUAAAUUUGUCCAUGUAAAGGACAAUUAGAAGCUGAACAAACGAGAGCGUUCAUCUAUCGUUGGCACAGAUAAUUAUCACACCAGUGACAGACCGCAAACGGUUCCGCUAAUGCAUUUCAGGGGAGCUGACCUCAAUAAUAAGAGGCCCGCAACAC